rnacentral:lncRNA from 1 species
GGGGGAAAUGUGUAGGUGGCUAUGAGUUGAUAGAUUCAGGGGGAUUUAUUAUAUUAUCCUCUCUACUUUUUAUAUGUGUUUGACAUUUCAUAAUAAAAUUGUUAAUGAAAUGUAAUUUAAAUAAUUUUGGAAAAGAAAAGUGAAGAAAAAACAUAAAAGCUAUUUUGAACACAUUUUCUCAUGGAAAAAACUUGUGAAAUGAAUGCAAUAUAGAAAAAAGGGCAUCUUUUAUGAAUUAUUUUUAAAUUCUAGAAUCCAAAAUUAUCUUUAUCAGAAAUAUUUUAAGUAUAUGUUUUCAUUAACUAUGCUACAGUCUCAGAAUAAUGUUGUUGCUGGCAGCAAUAAAAUCAUAGCAACUAACAGUAAUAAAGGAUUGCUAAAUACAUUUCUGUCCUAAAUUUCUCGGUAUCACAUAUUAAACAUUAU